rnacentral:lncRNA from 10 species
GUGAAACUCCAUCUCAAAAAAAAAAAAAAAAAAAAGGACCUCCUACAACAGCCAGGGCCUGGUGCAGGUUGUCCUAGCACAGGGUUCACUGGUCUGUCCAUUCUGCCACUGCUAUGAGAUUGUAAUGGCCCAACAGGUUCACCUUGCCUGCUGCCUAGGCAGAACCAAUUUAUCAAGACAGGUGAAUUGCAAUAGAGAAAGAAUAAUUCAUGCAGAGCCAGCUGUGUGGGAAACUGGGACUUUUUUUAUUACUCAAAUGAGUCUCCCCAAGCAUUUGGAGGUCACAGUUUUUAAGGAUAAUUUGGAGGGUGGGUGGCAUCCAGUGAGUCAGGAGUGCUGAUUGAUCGGGUCAGAGAUGAAAUCAUAGGGAAUUGAAGCUGUCUUGUGCUUGAGUCAGUUCCUGGGUGGGGGCCACAAGAUCUGAUGAGCCAGUUUAUCGAUCUGGGUGGUGCCAGCUGAUCCAUCCAGUGCGAGGUCUGCAAAAUAUCUCAAGCACUGAUCUUAGACUUCAGUGAUGUUAUUCCCGGGAGCAAUUUGGGGAGGGUCAGAAUCCUGUAGCCUCUAGCUGCAUGACUCCUAAAUCAUAAUUUCUAAUCUUUUGGCUAAUUUGUUACUCCUACAAAGGCAUUCUGGUCCCCAGGCAAGAUGGGGGUUUGUUUUGGGAAAGGGCUAUUAUUGUCUUUCUUUUAAACUAUAAACUAAGUUCCUCCCAAAGUUAGUUCAGCCUACACUCAGGAAUGAACAAGGACAGCUUGGAAGUUAGAAGCAAGAUGGAGUUGGUUCGGUCAGAUCUCUGUCACUGUCUCAGUUAUAAUUUUGCAAUGGUGGUUUCAAGAUGAUGAAAGAGUACUGGGAAAGUAAAUAGCUACGAAGGGCCAGAGAAGGUGUGUUACUGAAGAAAGUGGGAUCUCCCAAGGGACUCAAAGAGAAGAGCUUUUUAACACAGUGAUAACCCCAAAAAAUUCACUAGAGAAGUGGGGGAUGCGGCCAGGCGCGGUGGCUCACACCUGUAUUCCCAGCACUUUGGGAGGCUGAGGUGAGCGGAUCACCUGAGGUCAGGAGUUCCAAGACCAGCGUGGCCAACAUGGUGAAACCCCGUCUCUACUAAAAAUACAAAAAUUAGCUGGGUGUGGUAGUGCAUGCCUGCGGUCCCAGCUACUCAGGAGGCUGAGGCAGGGGAAUCGCUUGAACUCAGGAGGUGGAGGUUGCAGUAAGCCGAGAUGGCGCCACUGUACUCCAGCCUGGGUGACACAGCGAGACUCCAGCUCAAAAACAAACAACAAAGAGCCAGGCGUGGUGGCUCACACCUGUAAUCCCAAUACUUUGGAAGGCAGGUUAGGAGUUCAAGAGCAGGCUGGCCAACAUGGUGAAACGCCAUCUCUACUAAAAAUACAAAAAAUUAGCCGGGCAUGGUAGCACACGCCUGUGAUCCCAGCUACUUGGGAGGCUGAGGCAGGAGAAUUGCUUGAACCUGGGAGGCAGAGGUUGCUUGAACCCAGGAGGCAAAGCCAAGUUUGUGCCAUUGCACUCCAGCCUGGGCAAUAGAGUGAGACUCUGUCUCAGAAAAAAAAGAGAAGGGGAGAUGCUUACUUAUUAUCAAAGUAAUUAGAGGCCAGACAUCGUGGCCUGUAAUCCCAGCACUUCAGGAGGCUCAGACAGGAGGAUUGCUUUAGCCCAGGAGUUCAAGACCAGCUUGAGCAACAUCACAAAACCCGUCUCUACAAAAAGUUUAAAAAUUAGCCAGUCAUGGUGGCGUCCGCUGAUAGUCCCAGCUACUCAGGAGGCUGAGGUGGUGGGAAGAUCACUUGAGCCCCAGAGGUUGAGGCUGCAAUGAGCUGUGAUUAUGCCAAUGCAUUCCAGCUUGGGUGACACACCCAGACCCCGUCUCAAAAACAAAACAAAAAAAACAAAAUCUGAAAGGAUGCCAAAACAUAAAAAUCACAUUAUCAGUUUAAUUGUGAUUUUGCUGGGAAACUGCAUGAGACUGGCACAAAGAGAGAAACAUGACAGCAGUAUUUUAACUGCUUAUCAGAAUACUAAAAAUAACUUUCUUCAAACCCACAUCUCAAAUGAGUAAUUCCAUUGUUCUUCCAGGCCAACUAGUGACGCACGAUAUUUUUCUUCUUAGUUCAGCUAAAAUCUGGGCUCUUGUCUCCCGAUCAGGAAAAAUUAGGCACAUGGACACAUUGAAGGGUCAGAAUGUAUUAAGUGAAAAGAAAGCCCUUAGCAAAGAGGUGGUCCUGCCAACAGGCUCCUACUCCACAGACUGAAUAUCAGGCCACCAUACUGGAGCUGAAGAAGCCCGGCUCCCCUGCAUAAAGCAUGAAUUCCUGGUGGCUCCACCCCAUUUCCCCAGUGCACAUGUAGGCCUCUAAUCUGAGCCACUCCACACUGAUUUAUUUCCCUUACUGCACAUGUGUUAAGGGAUAGAAUUUUUCACUGUAGGCAUGUUUAGGCAAGCCCCCUGUGCAUAAUGACCUGGAUGGCAUUUGGCUGUCUCCCGCCUCUAUCAGUAGCAUAUUUAGGGGAGGAAAGAUGAAUUUUCUUGCUACCCUUCUAAAUUCUCAGCUAGAGUCCUUGUAACAAAAGAUAGAUUUUUUUUUUUUGAGACAGGGUCUCACUGUGUCUCCCAGGCUAGAGCACAGUGGUGCUAUCAUGGCUCACUGCAACCUCCACACCCCCAGGCUCAAGUGAUCCUCCCAUCUCAGCCUCCCAAGUAACUGGGACUACAGGAGCUUGCCACAACACCUGGCUAUUUAUUUAUUUAUUUUUGAGACAGAGUCUUGCUCUGUCACCCAGGCUGGAGUGCCGCUGGUCUUGAACUCCUGACCUUGUGAUCCACCUGCCUCGGCUUCCCAAAGUGCUGGGAUUACAAGUGUCAGCCACUGCGCCUGGCCCUAAUUUUUUAAUUUUUUAUUUCGUAGAGAUGGGCUCCUGUCAUGUUGCCCAGGCUGAUCUCCAGCUCCUGGGUUCAAGCAAUCCUCUUGCCUUGGCCUCCCAAGAUGUUGGGAUUAUAGGCGGGAGCCACCAUGCCCAGCUCAAAAGAUUAACAGGAGAAAAACAAAUGGAGCUAUAUUAACAUGUAUACUUUGCAUAUACAUGUGAGAUGCCCAAGAAAAUGAGUAAUUCUCAAAGGAGUGGCUUAGAAUUCAGGUUUAAGUACCAUCUUCAGCUAAAAACAAAGAAGGGAGUGAGGAAGGCCAGUUUUGGGAAAAAGACCCGGAGAAGCACACAAAACAAGUUGCUGCCUUCUCCAUUGAUAAGGGUCUCUGGUGAUUUAGAGUCAACUUUCUCUUCCUGGUACAGAGAGGGAGACACCCUUACAAAGAGCGAUUUCUUUUAAGACUGUGAGUUUCUCUUUUUUUUUUUUUAGUAUUUAUUGAUCAUUCUUGGGUGUUUCUCAGAGAGGGGGAUUUGGCAGGGUCAUAGGACAAUAGUGGAGGGAAGGUCAGCAGAUAAACAUGUGAACAAGGGUCUCUGGUUUUCCUAGGCAGAGGACCCUGCGGCCUUCCGGUGUUUGUGUCCCUGGGUACUUGAGAUUAGGGAGUGGUGAUGACUCUUAACGAGCAUGCUGCCUUCAAGCAUCUGUUUAACAAAGCACAUCUUGCACCGCCCUUAAUCCAUUUAACCCUGAGUGGACACAGCACAUGUUUCAGAGAGCAUGGGGCUGAGGGUAAGGUUAUAGAUUAACAGCAUCCCAAGGCAGAAGAAUUUUUCUUAGUACAUAACAAAAUGGAGUCUCCUGUGUCUACUUCUCUCCACACAGACACAGCAACAAUCUGAUCUCUCCUUCCUUUCCCCACAUUUCCCCACUUUCUACUCGACAAAACCGCCAUCGUCAUCAUGGCCCGUUCUCAAUGAGCUGUUGGGCACACCUCCCAGACGGCCUGGCGGCCGGGCAGAGGGGCUCCUCACUUCCCAGACGGGGCGGCUGCCGGGCGGAGGGGCUCCUCACUUCUCAGACGGGGCGGCUGGGCAGAGACGCUCCUCACUUCCCAGACGGGGUGGUGGCCGGGGUGAAUUUCUCUUUCAAAGGGGUAGCUUAUGCUGUUUUCAUAGCUUCUGUUUCUCAAAAUUACUAGCUCAGAAUAAUCCUUAGGCCAAGGAGGCAUAUUUUGGGGUGGCAUAUUCUGGUCUCCUACAGAUGUAUGCCUGAAAAGAAAAUUAGCAAUUUGGCUCUAGAAGAAUAAACAGUGUUAGCUAAUGAGAUGUCAAAAUGGAACUUGCAAGGUUGCUUCCGUUGGGGGCCACACAGUGUGGCUGUAUUUCUGAGGGGUCAUUCUGAUCCAGAGUUGAUUUGGUCCUUCAUGAUUUAUAGGCCUGGAAACUGGAUAUUAAAAUUCACUGAUAGUUCACUCUAAUCAACUCUGAAGUGUCUUUCCUUCACUAAUGAAGUCUAUAUGGUUUUAUCAUGUGCACAACAGUCAAAAAGAUUUGGGUUUAUUAACCUACCAUGACCAGGGAGAGCACCCCAGAGGAAGAAGGGCUGCUUCUCAUUACGAGGGAAUAGGAAGGGGACUUUGUAAGGUUUGGGCUGGCCCUGAGUAAUUCUGAAGAGGGGACAAGGGGAAGUGAGUAUCAUGGCUAUAAAGUUGCUUUCAUGAAGUGUGGGCAGUUUAGUAAUUGGGUACCUUGGUCGCUUUUGUUCAAGAUGUAGGAGCCACACAACAGGCUGGGGAGGUUAUUGGUAAGAAAGCAGUAAUCAUAAGUAGGUGGCUGUUAGGACACUUUACAGCCAAGGUGUGACCUGGAGAGAAAGAAAAGAUUGUUUUAUGUUAUAAUUGUCUCAUUGGUGUCUGUUACGAGAGACUGAAUAUACAAAUAGACAAUGGCUGGACCAUUUGUACAACUAGAACUCUGACUGACAACCUGCAGAAACCUCCUCAGGAAACCAAUUCGUUAUCUACAGCAACCAGCCCAGGAAACAAGCCUGCUGUAAGUCAUACUUGCAGGAAGCCAGGUGUUAUCUCUAGUGACAAUCCAGGAGUAACUUUUCUAACAGCCCCCAAAGCCUAGGACUUAAUUAAUAACUGGCACCCUAUCUCUCACCAGAUACAAAAAU